UAUUCUGCCCCACGGGGAAGGAUGAGAAGCUUCRACUMAGGUUCGACUCGAGCRUARCGAGAGAACGUUGCCGCAGGCAACGGCCCGAAGGGCGAGGAGCGAUAGCGACGAGUUAUCCUUCCCCCACCGC
rnacentral:sRNA from 1 species